CAUCACGAAGGCCCCACUGUCUUAAGAGGACUCUCCAUGAAAUUGAAUUCGUAGUGAAGAUGCUACGUCCAUAUUGUAAGACGAAAAGACCCCAUUGAGCUUUACUAAAGACUUGUAUGGCUCGAAAUGACUUAAAUAAAAAGUUUAGAUAAUGUGGGAUCCGUUUUUGGUUAAUGAAACACCACUCUUUUAUUUUAAGAGAGCUAACCUUGUAGGGAGAAUGCAAGUUGGAUAGUUUGGUUGGGGCGACCACCUUUUAAAAGGUAACGAAGGUGAGCUUAAGGUCCGUAGUUAAUAGCUAGUGGCCUGACUGCAAGGGGGACAUCCCGAGCAGACACUGGUAAUCUCUCAGUGGGUUAUAGUGACCCGUCAUCUUAGAGUGGAAUAGUUGACGAUCAACGAAUAAAA
rnacentral:rRNA from 1 species